rnacentral:rRNA from 1 species
CCUACGGGAGGCUGCAGUGAGGAAUAUUGGUCAAUGGGCGAGAGCCUGAACCAGCCAAGCAGCGUGAAGGAUGACUGCCCUACGGGUUGUAAACUUCUUUUAUAGAGGAAUAAAGUGAGGCACGUGUGCCUUUUUGUAUGUACUUUAUGAAUAAGGAUCGGCUAACUCCGUGCCAGCAGCCGCGGUAAUACGGAGGAUGCGAGCGUUAUCCGGAUUUAUUGGGUUUAAAGGGAGCGUAGAUGGGUUGUUAAGUCAGUUGUGAAAGUCUGGGGCUCAACCGUAAAAUUGCAUUUGAUACUGGCAGUCUUGAGUACAGUUGAGGCAGGCGGAAUUCGUGGUGUAGCGGUGAAAUGCUUAGAUAUCACGAAGAACCCCGAUUGCGAAGGCAGCUUGCUGAACUGCCACUGACAUUGAGGCUCGAAAGUGUGGGUAUCAAACAGGAUUAGAUACCCCUGUAGUC